rnacentral:rRNA from 1 species
GAUGAACGCUGGCGGCGUGCAUAACACAUUCAAGUCGAACGGACCUUAAGGAAUAGCUUGCUAGGAAUUAAGGUUAGUGGGCGGACGGGUGAGUAACGCGUGAGCAACCUGCCUAUCAGUGGGGAAUAACGUUUGGAAACGAACGCUAAUACCGCAUAAUGUUUCGAGAGGGCAUCCUUUUGAAACCAAAGCUUUAUGUGCUGAAAGAUGGUCUCGCGUCUGAUUAGCUAGUUGGUGAGGUAACGGCUCACCAAGGCGACGAUCAGUAGCCGGUCUGAGAGGAUGAACGGCCACAUUGGGGACUGAGAUACGGCCCAGACUCCUACGGGAGGCAGCAGUGGGGAAUAUUGGGCAAUGGGGGAAACCCUGACCCAGCAACGCCGCGUGAAGGAAGAAGGCCUUCGGGUUGGUAAACUUCUUUUACCAGGGACGAAGAACGUGACGGUACCUGGAGAAAAAGCAACGGCUAACUACGUGCC